GUGCCGAACUUUCCAGGCUGACCUCACAGCUGUCCAGAACGCUUCACUGGGAUCAAAGUGAGACACACCAGGGGUCUUUGAUACUUGGCUGUGACAGCCUGCUCAGGACAAGCUGUCAGUCAGAGACCUUUCAACACACCAGGGCAGGCUCAUCUGACAAGAGGCGUCUCACUCGACAACACAUACAGGAAGACAGACUGUGUCCUGGCCGAGCCCAAACAGAUCAACUUCCUCUGCCCAUCAAACCUUCAUGUGUGGGAAUAGGCGUAUACACUGGCCUGUCCACUUUGCUCAGAGUGGGGGAACCCUGGAGGACACAUUGAGCGAGAUGCUGCACCGUUACAGAUGGAGACAUGACCAGGUCUUUCUUUAGUGCAACUGGAGGAUCAAUCAGCACGAGAAUCGAGCAGGACAAGGAGACCCAGCCCUUCGCAGCAAACCAUCGCUUUUGUCAGAGCGGGCAAACGGCCAAGAACAAAGGCAGACAUACGUUUGCCUCAACAAAGAUUUGGCUGCUGAUGGUGGACCUAGAGCGAUAGCUCAAGGAUCUGCAGCAGAAUGCCAACACCACCUUAAGGGGUCCACCUUAAGACCCCAGAAAGCACGUCAUGCUCUGGGAAUUGACAGUGCUGUGGAAGGCUCGUUCAGGAAAGCUCAUCCAAUAAUGGUAUGGUCAGAGAAUUUAGUAGUGGUUGCAGUCUGAUCUCUAUUCACCUUGCUGGUGUACUGAGGGAGCAGGGAGAGGAGAAGAGACAUCCACAGCUCUA